GUGCGCGAAGUGUUGUGGCUGCACGCCUCCCUCCCAAGGAGGCAGCGAGGGUUCAAUUCCCUCCGCGCACU
rnacentral:tRNA from 1 species